AUUGAACGCUAGCGGGAUGCCUUACACAUGCAAGUCGAGCGAGAGGAGGAUGGGUGAGUAAUGUAUGGGGACUGCCCGAUAGAGGGGGAUAACACCAGGAAAAGGUAGUGAAUACCGCAUACUAUCGGAUAACCCAUAUGGGAUUAGCUAGUAGGUGAGGUAAUGGGUCACCUAGGCGACGAUCCCUAGCUGGUCUGAGAGGAUGAUCAGCCACACUGGGACUGAGACACGGCCCAGUAUCCUACGGAGGCAGCAGUGGGGAAUAUUGCGCAAUGGGCGCAAGCCUGAUGCAGCCAUGCCGCGUGUAUGAAGAAGGCCCUAGGGUUGUAAAGUACUUUCAGUCGGGAGGCGUUACCGACAGAAGAAGCACCGGCUAACUCCGUGCCAGCAGCCGCGGUAAUAC
rnacentral:rRNA from 1 species